rnacentral:other from 1 species
UUACUGCUGCGUUGUUUGUGUUCAAAUGAAGUUUCAACCUUUGAAUGUUAAAUAGGGAGUUCAACAAUGAGGCUUAAAAGCAUGCCUCCCCAUGCGGCUAGAGGAAGCUUGGAGAGUCUCUGAGAACACCCACUUGGUGGAGUUUCGGUUUUUGAAACUUCAUUUCGAUACGGCAAAUGUGGCAGGGUC